GUGUCAGCAGCCGCGGUAAUACGGAGGAUGCAAGCGUUAUCCGGAUUCAUUGGGUUUAAAGGGUGCGCAGGCGGAUUGAUAAGUCAGUGGUGAAAUCCUAGAGCUUAACUCUAGAACUGCCAUUGAUACUGCCAAUCUUGAGUACACUUGAAGUGGGCGGAAUGUGUCAUGUAGCGGUGAAAUGCUUAGAUAUGACACAGAACACCGAUCGCGAAGGCAGCUCACUAAGUUGUAACUGACGCUCAGGCACGAAAGCGUGGGGAUCAAACAGGAUUAGAAACCCUUGUAGUCC
rnacentral:rRNA from 1 species